rnacentral:rRNA from 1 species
AUUGAACGCUAUCGGCAGUCCUAACACAUGCAAGUCGAACGAGUGGCGGACGGGUGAGUAAUGUCUGGGAAACUGCCCGAUGGAGGGGGAUAACUACUGGAAACGGUAGCUAAUCCCGCAUACCAUCUGCUGUGCCCAGCUGGGAUUAGCUAGUAGGUGGGGUAAUGGCUCACCUAGGCGACGAUCCCUAGAUGGUCUGAGAGGAUGACCAGUCAAACUGGAACUGAGACACGGUCCACAAUCCUACGGGAGGCAGCAGUGGGGAAUAUUGCCAAAUGGGCGCAAGCCUGAUGCAGCCAUGCCGCGUGUAUGAAGAAGGCCUUCGGGUUGUAAAGUACUUUCAGCGAGGAGGCGUUACUCGCAGAAGAAGCACCGGCUAACUCCGUGCCAGCAGCCGCGGUAAUAC